UACCAGCACCCCGAGUGGUCGGGACGAUUAUUGGGCCUAAAGCAUCCGUAGCCGGUCAUGCAAGUCUUCCGUUAAAUCCAGCCGCUCAACGGUUGGGCUGCGGAGGAUACUACGUGGCUAGGAGGCGGGAGAGGCAAGCGGUACUCAGUGGGUAGGGGUAAAAUCCUUUGAUCCAUUGAAGACCACCAGUGGCGAAGGCGGCUUGCCAGAACGCGCUCGACGGUGAGGGAUGAAAGCUGGGGGAGCAAACGG
rnacentral:rRNA from 1 species